rnacentral:tRNA from 1 species
CAGGAUGUAGCCCAGUUGGUUAGAGCAUCACACUGAUAAUGUGAAGGUCGGUGGUUCGAGUCCAUCCAUCCUGACAA